GUUUACGAGGUACUGAACUGCAACAACAAGCACACUCAAGAAACAGCUAAAUCACUGGAUUUGCCGCAGUCUGUCAGUUAUCAGAUGAACGAAGGUUGGAACAACAUAAGAGCAGUGAACUGUACACCCUUCACACAUGAGAUCACAGAUUAGCAUCUAGUAGAGCCAGCAUCCGAACAUACUCUCCGGAUUAAAGUGAAAGCAGGUAUGACCCUGGCACUACAGUCGAUUGGGCACAUGGACUGGCAUGGAUGUUGGCACAGAGCUGACACAAGCGGAUAUAGUGAGGACGGGGGAGGCUCCUGGCUUUAGGAGUGACACCUGUACGAGCAUGACUGAGGGUGAGAUUGAGACAUGGGAAGGGUGCUGGGUACAUGAGCUGGCACUGUGAAAGCAGGCAGCACUCCUCUGCCUGAAGAGAUAAUCCCUCCAUAAAGUCACGUUUCAGGAACUCGGGAAGUUGACAGAUGGCACAAGCCAAGCCAAGUGAAUAUGUGUAUGUGUGCAUGUAUUUUUUAAUUGUGGUUUCAAGCCAAAACCAUGGCAAAAAUCCUACUAAAAUGUAUAAGGGUUUAUAGAAAUAAAUGUAUCAAGGGAAUUGCAGAGAGUUCAUGAGAUGAUGAAAAGUUCAUUA